GCUGAAUGUGGGGAUAAUUUAUCUCCGUGUUGAAGCUAACGCGUUAGCACUCCGCCUGGGGACUACGGUCGCAAGACUAAAACUCAAAGGAAUUGACGGGGACCCGCACAAGCGGUGGAGCAUGUGGUUUAAUUCGAUGCAACGCGAAAAACCUUACCACUCCUUGACAUGGAGAUUAGAUCCUUCUUAACGGAAGGGCGCAGUUCGGCUGGGUCUCGCACAGGUGCUGCAUGGCUGUCGUCAGCUCGUGUCGUGAGAUGUUGGGUUAAGUCCCGCAACGAGCGUAACCCUCAUCCUUAGUUGCCAGCGGAUAAUGCCGGGUACUUUAAGGAAACUGCCGGUGGUAAACCGGAGGAAGGUGGGGAUGAUGUCAAGUCAGCACGGCCCUUAUGGGGUGGGCUACACACGUGCUACAAUGGUGACUACAAUAGGUUGCAACGCCGCAAGGCUGAGCUAAUCCAUAAAAGUCAUCUCAGUUCGGAUUGUCCUCUGUAACUCGAGGGCAUGAAGUCGGAAUCGCUAGUAAUCGUGGAUCAGCAUGCCACGGUGAAUACGUUCUCGGGUCUUGUACACACUGCCCGUCACGCCAUGGGAAUUGGCUUAACUCGAAGCUGGUGCGCUAACCGAAAGGAAGCAGCCAU
rnacentral:rRNA from 1 species